GGUCACACCCGCCGUGUGAUCUUGUCGUAAUCAGAAAAAAAUAAACAGGAAAGUCCGUAGACAAUUUGGUGAUUAAUUAUGGUCUAACAAUUAGUAUGAAAAACGUCAGUCAGCAUGCGACCCAGUGGAAGAUUGUAUUUGCUGACGAGGUCGUUGUAUCGACCAUAGAACCUACGAAAAAAUAACUUCAAACGAGACUGUUGAUAGUCUUGUUUAUCAACUUGUUUGUUAGUAGCUUGUCUCGCCUUAGAAACUGUUUAUCCAAAGCGCAUGCCAUUGUGUUUCGAUUUACCUAAUAAACAAAAAAACAACAACAUGCAGGUGAUGAAGGCAUAUUGCUACAUUAAUAAGGCAAGUUGACUAUAGAAAAAUUGAAGUCAUCGCGUUUAUCAUAAAGAUUUGUUGUUACGUUACCAUCAAUGUCCAUUUCCAGUAAAAUAUUCAAAUAUGAAACAAGUGACGCAGACUCUGUGGUAUCAUUUAUUUCAAGUGCACUGGGAUAUAUCAAGUCGACUUAAGUAUGGAAAUAACAAUUGUUAAUUGAUGAUACGUCGUCGAUAUACCGUUUAAGCCCACAGUGAGUAAUUGAUUUUCACGUACAAGUUUUUGAAUAAAUUCUGCUUCAUAAGUAU
rnacentral:sRNA from 1 species